rnacentral:lncRNA from 1 species
GGCCUGGGCUGGGCAGAGCAUCUUCAGCCCACCCAAGUAAUCUUGCACCCAUUCGGUCUCUGUUACCCUCCCGCCUAAGCCCAGAAGCCCACAGGCCCGGGACUUGCUGUCCUCAGACCUAGGAUACUUCCCACUCCAAGCCCCAAAUCCUACCCUGCCGUUCCCAGCCCUUCUCCAGCACCCCUCCCUCUUCACAAAGGCUGCUUGGCGGUUUCUCUCCGCCCUCCCCAAGACUGCUCUUGGGAGGGUAUGUUGCUUUCCCAGACAAGCUCAGCGAUGCAAUUUCUCCUCCUAAGAGUUUCACGGAUCGCGGCCACGGGGAGCACAAGCGCCACCUGCUGGCCCACAGCGAGAUUCCAAGAGAGGACGAGACCUGAGCACAACCAGCUCAAGACGCACAGUCCCCGGUCACCGUCAAUCAAGUGUCCGGUCCUCCAUUUCGCUUUGGUUUUUCUCAUUGUUGGAGUUUUUUUUUUUAUUGAUACAUCAUAGUUAUACAUAUUUUGGGGGUGUCUGUGAUUUUUUAAAUUUAAUUUAUUUCUUAUUCUGUUUCUUCCCC